rnacentral:tRNA from 2 species
GGUUAUGUAGUUUAACUGGUCAAAAUACCUCCCUGUCACGGAGGAUGAUGUGAGUUCGAGUCUCAUCGUAACCGCCA